rnacentral:snRNA from 1 species
ACUCUUUCAAAGUGCAGAGUUACAAGUAAAAAGAAAUGUAGCUUUGCCCCUGAGCAAGGAUGACAUGCAAAUUCAUGAACUGUUCCAUUAAUUU